rnacentral:rRNA from 1 species
UACACUCCUACGGGAGGCAGCAGUGGGGAAUAUUGGACAAUGGGCGCAAGCCUGAUCCAGCCAUGCCGCGUGAGUGAUGAAGGCCCUAGGGUUGUAAAGCUCUUUCACCGGUGAAGAUAAUGACGGUAACCGGAGAAGAAGCCCCGGCUAACUUCGUGCCAGCAGCCGCGGUAAUACGAAGGGGGCUAGCGUUGUUCGGAUUUACUGGGCGUAAAGCGCACGUAGGCGGACUAUUAAGUCAGGGGUGAAAUCCCGGGGCUCAACCCCGGAACUGCCUUUGAUACUGGUAGUCUUGAGUUCGAGAGAGGUGAGUGGAAUUCCGAGUGGAGAGGUGAAAUUCGUAGAUAUUCGGAGGAACACCAGUGGCGAAGGCGGCUCACUGGCUCGAUACUGACGCUGAGGUGCGAAAGCGUGGGGAGCAAACAGGAUUAGAUACCCCUGUAGUCCC